rnacentral:rRNA from 1 species
UACGUAGGGGGCAAGCGUUGUCCGGAUUUAUUGGGCGUAAAGAGCGUGUAGGCGGCCGCACAGGUCCGUUGUGAAAACUGGAGGCUUAACCUCCAGACGUCGAUGGAAACCGUGCGGCUAGAGUCCGGAAGAGGAGAAUGGAAUUCCUGGUGUAGCGGUGAAAUGCGCAGAUAUCAGGAAGAACACCCGUGGCUAAGGCGGUUCUCUAGUACGGCACUGACGCUGAGACGCGAAAGCGUGGGGAGCGAACAGG